AAUAAGCUAAACAAGGGCGCAUGGGGAAUGCCUAGGCUCUCAGAGGCGAAGAAGGACGUGAUAAGCUGCGAAAAGCUGCGGGGACGGGCACACACCGAUUGAUCCGCAGAUAUCCGAAUGGGGCAACCCACCAUGUUGAAGACAUGGUAUCCGCAAGGAGGCAAACCCGGGGAACUGAAACAUCUAAGUACCCGGAGGAGAAGAAAACAAAAGUGAUUCCGUAAGUAGUGGCGAGCGAACGCGGAUUAGCCCAAACCAGCCCCGUUACGGCGGGCCUGGGGUUGUAGGACCACGGCAUUGGAGGCAGGAUGAACUAGAACCCUUUGGAAAGAGGGGCCAGAGACGGUGAUAGCCCGGUAUAGGCAAAGAAUGCGGACAUAGUGGUAUCCUGAGUAGUGCGGGGCACGUGAAACCCUGUAUGAAACAGUCGGGACCAUCCGAUAAGGCUAAAUACUCCUGAGAGACCGAUAGUGAACUAGUACCGUGAGGGAAAGGUGAAAAGAACCCUGAAUAAGGGAGUGAAAAAGAUCCUGAAACCAUACGCUUACAAGCGGUCGGAGUCCCGCCUUU
rnacentral:rRNA from 1 species